ensembl:lncRNA
UAACAUCCUACCCUGUUAUUACAGGACAAGACAUAACUGUAAAUCAAACCCAAAGCACAUCAAUCCCUACCUCAAUGGAGUCUCAAACCACUGAAUCAUUGCCGACCCCCUCCACUAAACAUAUAACAUCCUACCCUGUUAUUACAGGACAAGACAUUACUGUAAAUCAAACCCAAAGCACAUCAAUCCCUACCUCAAUGGAGUCUCAAACAACUGAAGACACCAGUCCAACCACCAACAAAUUGUCAUCUUCAGGAAUGUCACAAUCCACUUCGGAGAUGUCUUCAAUUGAGAUGUCUACUAAAGAACAUGGUUCCACAAGCCAUCCUUCAAUGUAUAGUACAGCUGUGGUCUCAACUGCAGAAUAUCAUAUUUCUACACCAUUCACAACUACAAACUCCCCCAAGACAACUGAAUCAUUGAAGUCACCCUCCACUACACAUAUAACAUCCUACCCUGUUAUUACAGGACAAGACGUAACUGUAAAUCACACCCAAAGCACAUCAAUCCCUACCUCAAUGGAGUCUCAAACCACUGAAGACACCAGUCCAACCACCAACAAAUUGUCAACUUCAGGUAUGUCACAAACCACUGUUGACAUUUCUUCCACUGUGUCAACCACUGGAUAUGGUCUUUCCACAUCAUUCACAACUAGACACUUGAAAAAGACAAGUGAAUCAGCAUUUUCCACCUCCACUUUAGAUACCACUUCCUCAUCUGGAUUUACCACACCUAUGACAAUGAUUCCAGGUUCGACCACAGAAAGGAGACCGUCAACGCAAAGCAAGACAGUGACCACAAUUGUGCAUACACAGGCAGACAGUCAGUCAACACCAGCCCACAGUUCAACCUCAAAUGUUACCCUUAUGACAUUCACAACAAUAUCUACAACUCAUCAGUGUAAUGAAGAGGACUGUCACUGUCAUGGUGCUCCUUGUUCUUUCAAUUACACUCUUGGCUUAUGUCAGUGCCAUUGCUCUGACUCCACCUUUGGAGAUUUGUGUAUUUAUGGAAGUAAUGUCAUCACAGUUUCCUUUGAUAAGGCAGUACCAACCAGAAAGGCAUAUGUCUCUUUGAGGAUUAUCAGGGAAUUUGAGACUGAGUAUGAAAAUAUGAACUCCAGCAAGUCCCAAAUAUUAAUCAAAACUUUGAUUAAGGAGCUUAGUGCUCUCUGCAGGAGAGCAGAUCCACACAAUUUUAAAGAUGUAAAAGUCAUUAAUCUAAAACCUGGAAGUAUUGUUGCAGAGAGCAUAGCGGAAUACACCUAUCCCAACAAUGCAUCUCAAAUUGAUUUCCUCAACAAUGAACUGGAACCCAUACUUAGGAAUAUCUUGAACAACACAGAUAACCUAAUGAUCAUCAGUCAAGCAUUUGAAAAUGUGCGAAUCCAGGUUACCAAUAUUACCUUCCAACCAAUGGAAAUAAGGAAUAUUGCAGAUUUGAGGUCAUUUGUGGCCUGUCGUCUGGGUUUUGCCAACUACACAGAAGAGCUCUCUGAUGGCAGCUGGAAGUGUGUGGGGCCUUGUAAACAGUAUCCAGACUACUGUCAUAGACACGGAGAAUGCUUUAAUAAUGUUCAAAGUGGACCUAUUUGUCUGUGCUAUGAGUCUUCCCUGGAGCAGUAUGAUGGACCCCAGUGUGAGCGCUUCCGCAGGGGAAGAGGUUUCUAUGCUGCACUCUUUGGUGCGCUGGGGGCAGGCAUCCUCCUCAUACUUGUUCUCAUCGUGGUUAUCGUGGUCCUGCGAAGGAACCGUGGGGGACGAUGGAACAUUGACAAGCCACCUGCCAGAAGACUGAUGUCUCUCAAAGAGGACUUUUUUGACUUCACACAAAGAGACCUCGGUCCAUACCAUGGCAGUUCACCAGUCUACACAAAUACUGAUUUAGUUCACGAAGGCUGCCCAGGAGUAUUCUGCCUGCAUCUUGACAAUGUUGACACAACAUAAAAUGUACAUUUACAGGCAUUAUACUGUAAUUUCUGUUGUUUCAUGUCUUUCAUAUUUGUCAUAUCUUACAAUCUUUGCUAUGAAUGAAAAAUUACAUCCAGUAAUGAGUGGCAGUAAAUAUAAAAUAUAGUAUCUACACUAAAACAUCACACCUUUCUAUAUACUAUAAUAACAAGUAUUUACAUGUAAUUACUUACACAGUCUAGAGCACCAGCUGUUUAUGAUUCUCUAUUUUAAUGAAUACUAAUGUUGACAUUUUAAGUGAUAUGAUUAUCCAAAAUGUUUUCUCAGGUGAAGACCCAAUGGCCAACAAUAAUAGAUUUUCUUCAAAAUAACACAGAAUAAAAUAUUCAAGCUGCCUAAAACGUUUAACCACAAAUAAUUAUUCUUUAUAACAUGCAUAAUCAUUGUGAAUCAAAUUCAUUUUGUACUGCAGCUGUUUUACUGGAAUUCAGAAGCAUAAGGCUACACACUACUGUCCUUUGAGGACUUGAUAAAUAGAAUGAGAUCUAGAUGAACAAUUUCCUGACAUUGAAGAUGACCCUGUAUGAGUAUUAGAUGUGUACGUUACAUCUGUUGACUAAGUGUAAUAUGUCACUUCUGGGCUUUGGGUUCACAUAUAUAUUUUUAAUUUGACAAAUAUUUAAAUAAACGGUGAGACGAAU